rnacentral:rRNA from 1 species
UAAGGAAUAUUGGUCAAUGGACGCAAGUCUGAACCAGCCAUGCCGCGUGGAGGAUGAAGGCCCUCUGGGUUGUAAACUUCUUUUAUAGGGGACGAAACCUCUUUUUCUUGAGAGACUGACGGUACCCUAGGAAUAAGCACCGGCUAACUCCGUGCCAGCAGCCGCGGUAAUACGGGGGGUGCAAGCGUUAUCCGGAUUCACUGGGUUUAAAGGGUGCGUAGGCGGGCAGGUAAGUCAGUGGUGAAAUCUCCGGGCUUAACUCGGAAACUGCCGUUGAUACUAUCUGUCUUGAAUUCUGUGGAGGUGAGCGGAAUAUGUCAUGUAGCGGUGAAAUGCUUAG